GGAGCAUGUGGUUUAAUUCGAUGGUACGCGAGGAACCUUACCAGGGCUUGACAUGUGCCGGAAGCGCACCGAGAGGUGCGUGCCGCUUGCGGCCGGCGCACAGGUGCUGCAUGGCUGUCGUCAGCUCGUGCUGUGAAGUGUUGGGUUAAGUCCCGCAACGAGCGCAACCCCUGCUGCCUGUUGCCACCACGAGAGGUGGGGACUCAGGCGGGACCGCCGGUGACAAACCGGAGGAAGUGGGGACGACGUCAAGUCAUCAUGGCCCUUAUGUCCUGGGCUACACACGUGCUACAAUGGCCGGUACAGAGCGCAGCGAGGCCGCGAGGCGGAGCGAAUCGCUUAAAGCCGGUCCCAGUACGGAUUGGAGUCUGCAACCCGACUCCAUGAAGUUGGAAUCGCUAGUAAUCGCGCAUCAGCAUGGCGCGGUGAAUACGUUCCCGGGCCUU
rnacentral:rRNA from 1 species